GGCUGCCAAAGCCUCCCCCGCAGGGCGGAGAGCGGCGCGAAGCCGGGGCGCUGACUGGAAACGGGGGCGGCUCCAGCGCCCGCCAAGGGCCAGCCCGCAGGAGGCAGCGCAGCGCGAGCAGGCGAAGGCCCUGCCGUGGGGCAGGUUCCGACCCCGCGUUUCUGGCGCCCGCCCGUUGGUUUUCGGAGGAUAAAUGAUGAACAGAACGAGCAUGCCCUUGGGUUUGACCAGAAUGCUGUUAAGAGAAAAGGAGAAAAGCUUUCUGGAAAGAAGGUGACGAACUGCUGGGGAGCAUCCUAAAGCAGUGAUCUUCCGGUGCAAGCCUGCACAUUUCCAGUACCGAUGCAAAUCACAUGUCUGAACUGCUUCACUCAGCCAUGUAGUACAAGCACCGAGACUGUAGCUUAAUGGUCCAUGGAUACAAGCUAGAUGAAGACGGAAGUCACCAUAAAGGGCAGUAUCACAGAUCAUCUGCUCUAACUGGAAAAAAACCCCAACAUACUCUCUGUCAGGCACGGUGAAGUUUGUAUGCCUCCUUCUAUGCCCCUUUUUUCAGUUUUAUCAGUUUGCCUCUGAAAACUCACUAACUUCCCCUGGCCACAGUUACGCUUGUUGCUUAAUUGCUACUCAUGAUGAAACCAGACUGUGGAGACCAUAGUGGAUUCAUUACCUCUCUAGGUUAAAACUUACUCCUGUGAAGUUUUCGGGACUGGGCAGGGCUAAGUAACACUGGUGGCAACUCAUCUAUGACACCAUUCAAGCAACCUUGGCUGCUGUAGUACAUUAAACAUCCAUUAAACUGAGCCAACUUCUUACAAUAUUGCCGUCUUGCAGGAACAAAUCUGAAGAAUUAGAAAAAAAUA